AAGUCCAAGAACCAUAUGAUGUACAGCCAGUCCUGGAAAUGACAUAGAAAUACAUCAAGAAAUGCCCGUCACAAAGAUACAGAUGUAAGAGAAUGGAUCCCAUGUUUCUCAGGAACAGGUGCUUUGCCAAAAAGCAUGACAAGAAGGGCCCGAAGCGGAUGCCCACCAACACCACCAAGGCCAUGAGUACACAUGCUAACCUCCCCGAAAGCCCAGGGAGGUCAAACCCACGAUCCCAAAGGGCAUCAGCCAUGAGCUUGAUUGACUUGCUUACAUCGCCCACCCCAAGUUUGGAAGGCAUCCUUGUGCCUGCGUCUCCAGAGGUCUCAGGCUCUGCUUGCCAGAAGCCAAGGCCAAGGCUCAGUCAAACCAAGGCCCAGGCUGUGGCUGUGGCUAUGUCUCUAGCUCCAGCUCCAGUUCCGGUUCCAGUUCAGGGUCCCAAAGGUUCCCAGUCCCCCAGAAGGUUCCUGAG
rnacentral:lncRNA from 1 species